UACGGAGGGUGCAAGCGUUAUUCGGAUUCACUGGGUUUAAAGGGUGUGUAGGCGGAUUUUUAAGUCAGUGGUGAAAUCUCCGGGCUCAACCCGGAAACUGCCAUUGAUACUAUUAGUCUUGAAUUCUGUUGAGGUGGGCGGAAUACAUCAUGUAGCGGUGAAAUGCUUAGAUAUGAUGUAGAACACCGAUUGCGAAGGCAGCUCACUAAGCAGACAUUGACGCUGAGGCACGAAAGCGUGGGGAUCAAACAGG
rnacentral:rRNA from 1 species